UUAAGUUCAGCGGGUAGUCCUACCUGAUUUGAGAUCGAACGUUCAAAAAUUUGUCCUCGCAGAGGAGAGACGUUUAUAAGCUCCAGCGGACCUCCAUUGCUGAAGGUUACCUGGCAGACGACCCACAAGCGUAGAUAGUUAUCACACCCGUGACGCCACCAAAGACUGGCAAGCUGAUUCAUUUGAGAGGAGCCGGCUGU
rnacentral:misc_RNA from 1 species